UAGGGAAUCUUCGGCAAUGGACGAAAGUCUGACCGAGCAACGCCGCGUGAGUGAAGAAGGUUUUCGGAUCGUAAAACUCUGUUGUUAGAGAAGAACAAGGACGUUAGUAACUGAACGUCCCCUGACGGUAUCUAACCAGAAAGCCACGGCUAACUACGUGCCAGCAGCCGCGGUAAUACGUAGGUGGCAAGCGUUGUCCGGAUUUAUUGGGCGUAAAGCGAGCGCAGGCGGUUUCUUAAGUCUGAUGUGAAAGCCCCCGGCUCAAGCGGGGAGGGUCAUUGGAAACUGGGAGACUUGAGUGCAGAAGAGGAGAGUGGAAUUCCAUGUGUAGCGGUGAAAUGCGUAGAUAUAUGGAGGAACACCAGUGGCGAAGGCGGCUAUCUGGUCUGUAACUGACGCUGAGGCUCGAAAGCGUGGGGAGCAAACAGG
rnacentral:rRNA from 1 species